AGAGUUUGAUCAUGGCUCAGAUUGAACGCUGGCGGCAUGCUUAAUACAUGCAAGUCGAACGGUAACAGAUUCUUCGGAAUGCUGACGAGUGGCGGACGGGUGAGUAAUACAUAGGAAUCUGCCCAUGUAGUGGGGGACAACUUGGGGAAACUCAAGCUAAUACCGCAUAAUUCCUACGGGAUAAAGAGGGCCACUGCUUGCAAGCUCUUGCUACUGGAUGAGCCUAUGUCGGAUUAGUUAGUUGGUAAGGUAAUGGCUUACCAAGACAGCGAUCCGUAGCUGGUUUGAGAGGAUGAUCAGCCACACUGGGACUGAGACACGGCCCAGACUCCUACGGGAGGCAGCAGUAGGGAGUAUUGGACAAUGGGCGCAAGCCUGAUCUAGCAAUGCCGCGUGUGUGAAGAAGGCCUGCGGGUUGUAAAGCACUUUCAAUUGGGAAGAAAGAUUAUGAGUUAAUACCUUAUAAUAUUGACG
rnacentral:rRNA from 1 species